GGCAUUGCGGGUGCUUACCAUGCAAGUCGAACGAUGAACCACUUCGGUGGGGAUUAGUGGCGAACGGGUGAGUAACACGUGGGCAAUCUGCCCUGCACUCUGGGACAAGCCCUGGAAACGGGGUCUAAUACCGGAUACUGAUCCUCGCAGGCAUCUGCGAGGUUCGAAAGCUCCGGCGGUGCAGGAUGAGCCCGCGGCCUAUCAGCUAGUUGGUGAGGUAACGGCUCACCAAGGCGACGACGGGUAGCCGGCCUGAGAGGGCGACCGGCCACACUGGGACUGAGACACGGCCCAGACUCCUACGGGAGGCAGCAGUGGGGAAUAUUGCACAAUGGGCGAAAGCCUGAUGCAGCGACGCCGCGUGAGGGAUGACGGCCUUCGGGUUGUAAACCUCUUUCAGCAGGGAAGAAGCGAAAGUGACGGUACCUGCAGAAGAAGCGCCGGCUAACUACGUGCCAGCAGCCGCGGUAAUACGUAGGGCGCAAGCGUUGUCCGGAAUUAUUGGGCGUAAAGAGCUCGUAGGCGGCUUGUCACGUCGGUUGUGAAAGCCCGGGGCUUAACCCCGGGUCUGCAGUCGAUACGGGCAGGCUAGAGUUCGGUAGGGGAGAUCGGAAUUCCUGGUGUAGCGGUGAAAUGCGCAGAUAUCAGGAGGAACACCGGUGGCGAAGGCGGAUCUCUGGGCCGAUACUGACGCUGAGGAGCGAAAGCGUGGGGAGCGAACAUGAUUAGAUACCCUGGUAGUCCACGCCGUAAACGGUGGGCACUAGGUGUGGGCAACAUUCCACGUUGUCCGUGCCGCAGCUAACGCAUUAAGUGCCCCGCCUGGGGAGUACGGUCGCAAGGCUAAAACUCAAGGAAUUGACGGGGGCCCGCACAAGCAGCGGAGCAUGUGGCUUAAUUCGACGCAACGCGAAGAACCUUACCAAGGCUAGACAUACACCGGAAAACCCUGGAGACAGGGUCCCGCUUGUGUCGGUGUACAGUGAUGCAUGGCUGUCGUCAGCUCGAGACGUGAGAUGUUGGGCUAAGUUCCCGCAACGAGCGCACCCUAGUCCCGUGUGCAGCCAGCCCUUGUGUGCUGGUGACUCCUGUAGAACCGCUGGGUCACUCUCGAAGAAUGUUCG
rnacentral:rRNA from 1 species